rnacentral:rRNA from 1 species
GCAUCUGUUGUCACACCAGUGGCAUGGCCCUUGUGUUCGGUCGGGAUAACCGCUGAAAGCAU